rnacentral:lncRNA from 1 species
CUCCACCACUUCCACCUCGGCUAAAGGAGACCGCUUCCUCCCCGCUCCCGCCCUCCCUCUCUCUCACACACACACAUCCGCCGUGCUACAGGCCAGGCGCUCCCUCCCCUACCUCGUCUCGCCCUCUCAGUGUCGGGUUACAGCGACACAAGGGCCCUGCCUGUCUGAACCACGACUUUGACAAAGAUAAUAUUACAGGAGCCCGAACACAAUUCCCACUUGUACCAUCUCCUGCAGGACCAGAAGCCCACGCGCCUCGAGGUCGGCAGCAAAUAACAUUAGCUCACUGUUCGCUCAAGCCGCUACAAAGCCAGGAGAGAGAGAGAGGAAGAGAGAGCGAGACAGAUAGAGAGCAACCAUCGUCGGAGUGGGCCUACAGCCAACCGGGAUGGAGUCCGGGUGGGGACCUGCGCAGAUGGGGGAACGCCGUCCGAGGCCUGUGUCACAAGUUUGUCAAAGCGCAGCACUGUCGUCGUUAUCCAUUCACUCCAUACUCAGUGGUGGUAUAGCCACAGCCGCCCUGGGGCUGACUGACAGAAGCGAGGCUGCCAAUCUGCACCAUCGGCCACUCGGCAUUUCUUGCCAGAGAAGAUAAUCUGCACUUACAGGAGCUGGGAUUCGAAUCGCCCCCUUGUAUACAGCACUAUUUUCAGCACUCAUGUUUGUGUUAUGUUUUUAAUUUGUUUGGUGAUGAUAAACUACUACUACUGUGCUGAACCGACAAAGACAUGGGCACCAAUUGUCUCACUCACUAAUUAGACAAACUGUAUUCUGAGCUGGGACAGAACCCUCAACCGUAUAAAAAAAAACAUAAGGCCUCCACAGUAAGCAAAGCUAUAUUUUUUGCAGUGCUAUAACGGAAGCAAAAAAGGGGGAUGCUAUCACCACUCCACGUCCCCUCUGAGAAACGUCUGACCACAGAGGUGCGAGCGUUAGCCCCUAGCCCGACGCCAACAUCUCCAUAGAGAUGGGGGGGAGCAGC